rnacentral:lncRNA from 1 species
ACAAUUGUAUUAUUAUAAAAAUUAUUUUUAUUUUUAACUAAUGCUUUUAACACAUUUGCAUUAUUUUAUUUUAAAAUAUAUUUGAAUAUAUAACUCAUAUUAGAUAUUAACAUAACAUAGAAAACAUAAACCUAACAAAUUAAAAUAUUACAUAUAUUUGGAUUAAAGUUUUAAAAAGGGAUCAUAUUUAUAUACCAAAUAUAAAUACUAAAAAUUUUACAAUAGCAUUUACAAUUUAAAGUGAAUUCAUUAAAUAACUAGAAGUAUUUAUGGCUUCUUUCCAAACCUUACCAAACCAUGAACUCAACAUGAUAUAUACUUCAAACACCACACCAAAACAUGUUUUUAGCGGCGUUUUUUAGCGCCACUAAAAGUAUUUGGAAGCGCCGCAAAAAAUGCCGCUAUAUUCAACGUCGCUAAUGUUUGCAGCGUUUAUAGAAAUAAAACGCCGCUAUAGAAUAUGACAUUUAGCAGCGCUUUUCCCACAGACGCCGCUAUUGUUUGGUGAGUUUUAGCUGCGCUUUUUUCAAAAAACACCACUAAUUUUGGGAUAUUUGUAAAAUAAAAUUUUUCAUAUUUUCAGUCCUCCUGUAGCAACAAAUCAAAAGCAACCAAAUCUAAACCAGCCAAAAGCAAUAAAUCUAUAUAAUAUUUCAAAUUAAACGAAUAAUAUAAUAUAAAAAUCAAUAAAUAAAAUAUAAUUCAUAUUAUUUUUACAAAAAUGUUAAAAGUUAAAAUGAUAAAAAAUUUUAUACAAUACACUAUGACGGCGGAUGUUGCGACUGCUGAAACAUCUUAAUCAAAAAAUUGGCCCUUGAAUUUUUCUAAUUACUCAUAUUUCUCUUAUUACUCAAAGCAACAAGGCAACAUAGAAACUACAGCCUAAAUGCUAAUCGUUUAAUCGGUUUGGGGUUUAAUGAAGCCACAGCAACUACAGCGUAAAUACGAAAGCAAUAUGCGCAAACAAGAUCAUAUGAACAAAUAUUGGAGCCAUAGUCAUUCGGGCCUACAAUGCCUGCUAAGUACCUCAGUGUUUCCUUCAUGAGGGUGCCACUGUUUCAGCUAAGAAUCUCAAAGCAACAAGGCAACACAGAAACUACAGCCUAAAUGCAAAAUUUAGGAACAAGUAAAUAAGGAAUUCGUUUAUUUUUUAUGCGGAAUCCCGGAUCUAGACACAAGAGAAACACAAAUUAGAAAUAAAACGAGAAUAAAUAAAAUUAGUUAAAAUAAUAAUAAAUAAAUAAAUAAUAAAAAAGAUAGAUUUGCCCUAUGGAACCCUUGGUUAACUUGUAACCAAAAACGCCAAUGAUUGAGCGGCUCCCUACGAAACCCCUAAAAGAAAAAACCUCUAGAAACAACGAUGAACGGGAAAGAAAUUUGAAUAUUUGCAACUCCGAAAUACCCUCGAAAGUAACAAACUCCAAACUAAAUAGCAAGAGAAGAAUCACUCUACUCCCAAAAAAUUUGCCUCACACAAAUUUGAAAGAAAACAAAUACUCUUCUUUUUAUUCCUCCAAUGUGUAGAAAACAAGCCUAUUUAUAGGCAAAUUACAAGAGUAAUUGAAUCCUAAUAAAACUCUUUCAAGAGUAAUUGAAUCCUAAUAAAAACUCUUUAAAGGGUAAUUGAAUCCUAAUAAAACUCUUUAAAAUUAUCUAAGAAAAUAAAUAAAUAAUAACCUAACCAAUAAAAUUACUUAACUCAUAAAUGAUGUGUCCCAACCAAUGAGAAUUAAGUAAAUAAUAAUAAUAAUAUACAUAAAAGAUUAAUCUACCAAUUUAUGGGCUUUCACUAUUCCAAGAUUGGUCCAGUGAAUUGCAUUCUCGUAUUUGUCAAUGUCACGAACAUGAUGAAUUAAAUUUGUAGCAACAAAGUCUUGGACAAAAGCAUUCAUCUUUAAUUUUAAUUGUCGUGUCUUGCUUCGAGUAAUUGGACCACUAGGAAAAAUAACCCCUUGAGUGUCACCUCCUUGGCUCGUAUCAUUCUCCCCCUCUUCAAGAAGAUUCGUCCUCGAAUCUGAACCUGCAUCAAAUUCAAAAGGAGAAAGAUCAGAAACAUUGAAAGUAGCACUAACACUAUACUCACCAGGAAUAUCAAUGCGAUAAGCAUUGUCAUUUAUUUUCUCGAGUACUUGGAAUGGUCCAUCUCCUCGUGCAUCAAGUUUAUUCUUUCUCUUAGAAGGAAAUACAUCCUCAAAAUCCUGCAAAAUAUCAACAAAACAACUAGGAAAAUGUGUAUUAGGGUUAGUCAAAACAAAGUUUUCCCUAAACCUAAUAAUUACAAAUGUUUGUUUUGUACAAGGAGCAAAUUUGAUAUCUCGAAACCUAGCGAAUAAACUCACUUUCUCAUCUCGUGACUUGUGUGUGCAAUCACUCACCAAUGUUGGGCCUUUAAGUUGGCUUUUAACACUAAGGGCCUCUUUACUCUCAGCCUUUUUCAAUGAUUUUACCUCACUUCCCUUACCCAUCUCACUAGCAAGUUUGAGUUGAUCAUUGUAGACUUCUUGAGGAGGAAGUGGAGCCAAAGUAAACUUCUUUCUAAGGAACACAAAAGUAUAUUGGUUAAGGAAACCAUCAUGAUUUACUCGUCGAUCAAACUGCCAUGGCCGUCCAAGUAAUAUGUGCCCAGCUUGCAUUGGAACAACAUCACACAAAACUUUAUCAGAGUAUCUACCAAUGGAAAAUGAAACUAAGCAUUGUUUAGAUACUUUUACCUUCCUACUAUCAUUCAGCCAUUGCAAGCUGUAUGGCCUUGGAUGCUUCACACAAGGUAGGUCAAGUUUCUCAACAAGGGAAGAACUCACCACAUUGGUACAACUUCCACUAUCGAUGAUCAAUAAACUAGGUUGUCCACCAAUCAAACAUCUCGUGUGAAAAAUGUUAUCUCUUUGUUCGUGCCCUUCCUCUUUAAACUGGACAUUUAAAGCCCUUCGAGCAACAAGUGCUUUCUCACCAUACUCCAAGUAUUCUUCGUACUUAUCAUGAGUAUGCACAUCAUCAGCAUCUUCCAAAGGAGGCAUCUCAUCUUCGUUAUCAGACUCAAAAUCAACCUCGCCAUCUUCUCGAAUCACCAAUGACUUUUUAUUAGGGCAUUCUCGAGCAUAGUGACCCCUUCCUUGGCAUUUGAAGCAAGUAAUAUCUUUUGGCUGCUUAAUGACACUAGGAGAAGUAGAAGAAGAAGAUGGAGCUUGAUUAGUAGAAGUAGAACCUUUAAUUGAAUUAGGCAUACCUCUAUCUUUGGAGUAAGUUCUAGGCUCAUUUGGCUUGAACCGUGCAUCUCUCUCAUUCCACAAUCUAUCAUCUUGUUUUUGCCAAUUUCCUCUCCAAGCAGGAUUAGAAACUGAACUAACACCCCUCGAUGUCACAUGCUUUCGUAAUUGCUUUUCAAUGGUGAGUGCGGUUUGAAGCAUCUCUUCAACAUCCAUGUAGUGUUGUAACUUAACUCGAUUUGCAGUCUCAGGCUUUAGGCCAGCAAGGAAUCUAGCCAUAGUUACCUCAGCCUCUUCAACAAGAUUGGCUCUAAUCUGAAUAGUCUCCAUCUCUUUGUAGUAGUCAUCCACAGAUCUAUCUCCUUGAGCAAGAUGUUGGAGUCUUUGAUGGAGUUCUCGAUAAUAGUAUGGUGGAACAAACCGUUUUCGUAAGAUGCGCUUCAUUUCAACCCAAGUAGUAACAGGUUGCUCUCUAUAAAGAAUCCUGCUUUUACAUAAUUGAUUCCACCAUGUUAGUGCAUAAUUAAUGAACUCAGCGACAGCGUAUGUUACCUUUUUCUCAUCAGAGUAAUUGUAACAAGCAAAGAUUGCUUCCAUCUUUUCCUCCCAAUCAAGGUAAGCAUCAGGAUCAUUCUUCCCUGAGAAAGAAGGAAAUUUUGGUUUGGGGGUGUCAUUGUUUCGUUCCACCCUUUCUCUAGGUACAUACUUGGACUCAAAGUCAUCAUCAAAAACAAGGUCCUCCCUUCGUUUAAAAGUUCGAUCGCGCGAAUUUGAUCGGCUUAUAAAGGCUUCGUUCAACUUCUUGUAAUUAUAGGCAAUGUAUCUCUCUUGAGUUGUAAGUUUUGUAUCAAGAUACUCCCUUUGCUCUUGUAUCAUCUGGGUCAUGCGAUGUUCGACUUGAGUUUGCAACUUUUUCAUCUCUUUUUGUAACAACUCGACCAAAGGAUCGUUAUCUCUUUUUUGCUCAUCCUCUUCAUUUUUACUAGUUUGGGAUCUAGUGAUCGGCAUGGUAUCUGUGAAAAAAAUCACACAAACAGGAACAAGAAAAAAUAAUAAUAAUCUCACUCGUUAGCUCUCAAAAGAAUAACUCUCUGAAUGAUUCAAAACUUGUAAAUAUGUUUGGAGAGGGUUACUAAUUAAGAUCAAAUAAUGGAGGUGCAAACUUCAAAGAAACAAUGAAGAUCCUAAUUGCUUUAAGAGGCCAAUAAACUUGACGAAGCAAUUUGUAAUGGAGGCUACACGGAUGAAGGAAUUGUGCGUGCCUUUAAUAUCUGCUAACAUAAGAAGAAACAAAGUGUUAGAAAACGUAAGAGAAACAAAAAAAAAACGUAAACCUGCAACGAUCCCUAACUCUAGAGUCAAAGAAAAGCUUUAAUAAGAAGAAAACUUAAGAAAACUCUACCCAAUUUAAAGGAAAGCAAAAAAUCGGAAACGUUUGGUGUGUUAAGAUUUUCAAAAGUUGAAACUUUAAUUAUAUUUGAGUCAAGAAAGAAGGGGAAAAAAUUCAAUUUUGGGAAAAAAUAAAAUAAAAAUAAUAACAAUAAUAGGAAAAGAAGAAACCUACGUAUGAAAGGUAGGCAACUUUUUUUUGCGCUUUUUUUUGCUUUUUUGCUUCUUCUUUUUUGCGCUUUUUACUCUUUCUUUUUGCGCUUUUUUGCUUUUUUUUGUUUUUUUUUGCUGUUUUUACUUUUUUUUGCUUUUAUUUAAAGAAUAAGAGGAGAAUAAACACAAACUUUUUUUUUUAAAAAAAAUCGACGAAACCGAUGAAAAGUGUUUUUGGUAUUUUGACUUGUUUCGGAUUUGAUUUUAGCUUCGAAAAUAACACCGAAUGGCCUGAAACUAAUACCAACUGAUGCGAAAUCUCGGAUCUAGACACAAGAGAAACACAAAUUAGAAAUAAAACGAGAAUAAAUAAAAUUAGUUAAAAUAAUAAUAAAUAAAUAAAUAAUAAAAAAAUAUAGAUUUGCCCUAUGGAACCCUUAGUUAACUUGUAACCAAAAACGCCAAUGAUUGAGUGGCUCCCUACGAAACCCCUAGAAGAAAAAACCUCUAGAAACAACGAUGAACAGGAAAGAAAUUUGAAUAUUUGCAACUCCGAAAUACCCUCGAAAGUAACAAACUCCAAACUAAAUAGCAAGAGAAGAAUCACUCUACUCCCAAAAAAUUUGCCUCACACAAAUUUGAAAGAAAACAAAUACUCUUCUUUUUAUUCCUCCAAUGUGUAGAAAACAAGCCUAUUUAUAGGCAAAUUACAAGAGUAAUUGAAUUCUAAUAAAACUCUUUCAAGAGUAAUUGAAUCCUAAUAAAAACUCUUUAAAGGGUAAUUGAAUCCUAAUAAAACUCUUUAAAAUUAUCUAAGAAAAUAAAUAAAUAAUAACCUAACCAAUAAAAUU